AGAGGCGCUUCCGCUGUAAUGACCGGUUAAAUACAGUCACGUAACAUGAAAGCACUGAAUACAAUGUUUUCAUGCAGGAAAGCUUGGAUGCGCACUGCACUCGCAACAGAUGAUCAUUAGAACCCCAAAGCUCCUCUAUAAAGAGCAUUGAGUGGACCAUCACAGGAGGAAGCCUUUUUUCCUGAAGUGUCAUCGUGGGUGGUUUAACAGCUUUGGCGCUGUUAAAAGAUGAGUAAAACUUUAAAUGUAUUAAUUUAUAUUGCAAACAGGGUAGGGCGGGAGCUAUAUAAAACUAUGG